GCUCCAGUGGCGCAAUCGGUUAGCGCGCGGUACUUAUACAGCAGUACGGGUGAAGCAAUGCCGAGGUUGUGAGUUCAAGCCUCACCUGGAGCA
rnacentral:tRNA from 1 species